rnacentral:lncRNA from 1 species
AAGAAUAAGAAGGAAAAGUAGGGAAGCAAAGAAAAGGACAAAGUCUUACUGAUUUAUUUUUUAAAAAAGGAAAGAGCUGAAAGUACUUAAGCCAUGGUAGAUACAACUUCUUAUAUGUUACAAUUGCUGUUGGAAAGCUAGGACACAGAUUGUUAUAUGCAUCAUUUAUUCUGCCAACACGUCUUGAGAGUUACCAUUAGAUGCAUCUUUUUACAUACAAAUAUUGAUAAAGCUCCAGUACACAUGUCCCAACUGUGAAAUUAGUAUGCCAUGUUUCAUACACUCCCUUUCCUUAACCACAACGAACUGAAAAACUUUGACAUGCAAAAGAGUGUAACAUAAUCUUGACUCAGAAGAUAUGGGUGUGUUUAUGCCUAUUUAGGUUCUUUCUUAUUAACUAGUACUACUUUUUUUCACUUUCCA